AAAUGAAUAGACGGGGGCCCGCACAAGCAGCGGAGCGUGUGGUUUAAUUCGAUGCUACACGAAGAACCUUACCAGGGUUUGACAUUAUGGAAGUAGGGACCUGAAAGGGCGACGAUCAGUAUCCAAUCUGGAACCAUAACAGGUGCUGCAUGGUUGUCGUCAGCUCGUGCCGUGAGGUGUUGGGUUAAGUCCCGCAACGAGCGCAACCCUCGUCGCUAGUUAAUUUCUCUAGCGAGAUCGCCCUGUACAACGGGGAGGAAGGUGGGGAUGACGUCAAAUCAGCACGGCCUUUAUACCCUGGGCAACACACACGCUACAAUGGGUGCCACAACGGGUUGCGAGACAGCAAUGUGGAGCUAAUCCCUUAAAAGCAUCCUCAGUUCAGAUUGCAGUCUGAAACCGGCUGCAUGAAGUCGGAGUUGCUAGUAAACGCAGGUCAGCAUACUGCGUUGAAUACGUUCUCGGGUCUUGUACACACCGCCCGU
rnacentral:rRNA from 1 species